rnacentral:lncRNA from 1 species
AGGAUCGUCAGACAAAAUAAAUAGUGGCGAAAGAAAGAGAGUUAGCUGGUUUUGCAUGUUUUUGUUAUCUUGACUCAUUAUGUUUUCUAGAUAUCGCCAAUUAGCCAUUGAAUGGUAUCGUAAAGUUGCUUUCCCUUCCAAAGUACCUCUCUUCUUCUCAGGUGGAUGCUUUUUCUUUUAUGUUCAAACCCUUACCCCCACCCCCCCUCCCCCCCCCCCCACACACAUUUCAACCACUGACUUUUUGUUUUGUUAAUUUCUUUUUUCCUUUUUUCCACUGAACUGAAUGAAAUCAGGCCUGAUCAUCAUCCAUGGUGUAGUAGAAUACAGUAUGCUAUCCAUAUUUAUAACUUAUCUGACGAAUGACUGGGCAGUGAACUUACCAAAGGCAGCUCAAAUGGUGAAUGUGCACGAAGGACUCUCAACUAUUCUUGUCAUUGUGGUUUCACAACUGUCUGACUGCUUCUUUGGUCGCUUAUACGUUAUUCUCUUCACCAAUACAACUUUCAGUUUUGGUAAGUCUCUU